rnacentral:rRNA from 1 species
UACGUAGGGGGCGAGCGUUGUCCGGAAUUACUGGGUGUAAAGGGCGUGUAGGCGGGGAUGCAAGUUAUCGGUUAAAACCCAAGGCUCAACCUUGGGCUUGCCGGUAAAACUGUGUCUCUUGAGUAUAGGAGAGGGAAGUGGAAUUCCCGGAGUAGCGGUGAAAUGCGUAGAUACCGGGAGGAACACCAGUGGCGAAGGCGGCUUCCUGGCCUAUCACUGACGCUGAGGCGCGAAAGCUAGGGUAGCGAACGGGAUUAGAUACC